rnacentral:rRNA from 1 species
GACGAACGCUGGCGGCGUGCUUAACACAUGCAAGUCGAACGGAAAGGCCCUGCUUUUGUGGGGUGCUCGAGUGGCGCACGGGUGAGUAACACGUGUGUAACCUGCCCUUGUCUUUGGGAUAUCUUCAGGAAACUGGGGCUAAUACGGGAUAGGCGCCUCUGUCGCAUGGGGGGGUUUGGAAUUUUUCGGCGGUGGGGUAUGGACUCGAGGUUUCUCAGCUUGUUUGUGGGGUAGUGGCUUACCAAGGUUUUGACGGGUCGCCGGCCUGAGAGGGUGACGGGCCACAUGGGGACUGCGUUAGGGCCCAGACUCCAACGGGGGGCAGCAGGGGGGAUUAUUGCAAAAUGGGCGGAGGCCUGAUGCAGCAACGCCGCGUGCGGGAGGCCGGCCUUCGGGUUGUAAACCGCUUUGGCCUGUGACAAGGCGUGAGUGACGGUAAUGGGUAAAGAAGCACCGGCUAACUACGUG